rnacentral:rRNA from 1 species
UACGAAGGGGGCUAGCGUUGCUCGGAAUUACUGGGCGUAAAGGGCGCGUAGGCGGCUUGCACCGUCAGAUGUGAAAUUCCUGGGCUUAACCUGGGGGCUGCAUUUGAUACGUGUGGGCUUGAGUGCGGAAGAGGGUCGUGGAAUUCCCAGUGUAGAGGUGAAAUUCGUAGAUAUUGGGAAGAACACCGGUGGCGAAGGCGGCGACCUGGUCCUUGACUGACGCUGAGGCGCGAAAGCGUGGGGAGCAAACAGG